ACACCGAAUAUCAACAAAAUAAAAAACAAUUAUAUUCAAUAUAUUCUAAGAUUCUUGAAACAUAUUCAGAUACGAUGGGCUACAAUGUAUUACAAAACUUUAUCUCGUCGUCAUUCGCCAGUAAACAUUAUGAACUGUCAAAGUGAUCACUAUAUUUGUAGACGGUAAUCCUGACCGGCGACAAGGGCAAUAAUUAUAAUGUCGACCGUUGCGUUGAACGCGUUAAAAAUCAGCCUAACAUUUUUGAUACCUACAUGCAUUGAAUUAAUUAUAGGAUAUCAGUACACGUAGCACUGAUCGUGGUAUACUCAGAGAGUCCUGAACAUACUAAAAUCAAUUACAGAGAGAACCAGCAAAAACCACAGUAACAACUACAGCCAAAACAGCAAAAAAGAUAUUAAAUAGAAAUGGCUGUGUAAUUCAAGGACAACACCAACAUCAGUUAAGCAAAAAACAAGGAAAUAACCCAUCGAGCAGCACCAAUAGACAAGAACACACGACAUAAUACAAAGAAACUCAACACAGUGUAAAAGAAGAUUGAAGCAAUAAAAUACUGUUUUACUUUUAUUGUUAAUAAUCCCGUAAGAUUAGCCCGUCCAUUUAAUAAUAUUACUUUAAAUAUAAUAUGUUCAUAAGAGAUUUAAAAAAAAAAUAAAAACCUUAUUUCAUAUCAUAA